GAUGAAGAACGCAGCGAAAUGCGAUAAGUAAUGUGAAUUGCAGAAUUCAGUGAAUCAUCGAAUCUUUGAACGCAUCUUGCGCUCCUUGGUAUUCUGAGGAGCAUGCCUGUUUGAGUGUCAUUUCAACCAUCAAGCCCCAGGCUUGUGUUGGAGCCCUGCGGCUGCCGCAGCCUCCCAAAACCAGUGGCGGGCUCGCUAUCACACCGAGUGCAGUAGUUUACUCUUCGCUCAGGGCGUGUGGCGGGUGCUAGCCGUAAAACCCCCAACUUCUCAAGGUUGACCUCGGAUCAGGUAGGAAUACCCGCUGAACUUAAGCAUAUCAAUAAGCGGAGGA
rnacentral:misc_RNA from 1 species